rnacentral:piRNA from 1 species
GCUGUUGCUGCUGGGGGUUAAGA